rnacentral:rRNA from 1 species
AUGGAGCUGGAGGCGGCGACGCGGCGCUUCCAGCUCUGGCUCCGCGGGCUGCGGUCGCUGCGCCGGGACCUCCGGACGGCGCGCUGGGCCGACGACCCGGCGCAGCUCGCCAAGCUGGUGGCCGGCUACGUGUCCCACUUCGCGGACUACUGCGCGGCGCGGGCGGAGUUGGACCCGGUGUGGACGCUGGCGGCGCCGUGGGCGAGCCCCGUGGAGCGCGGCGCGGCGCACUGGCUGGCCGGGUGGCGGCCGACCACGCUGGUCCACCUGCUCUACACCGAGUCCGGCCGCCGCUUCGAGGCGCAGCUCCCGGACCUCCUGCUCGGCGUGCGGUCGGGCAACCUCGGCGACCUCAGCCCGGCCCAGCUGGCGCAGAUCGACGAGCUGCAGCGCCGCACCGUGGCGCAGGAGGACGAGCUGUCGCGGGAGAUGGCGCGGGUGCAGGAGGGCCACGGCGCGGUGGGCGCCGGCGGGGAGCUGGGGGACGUGGGCGGGCUCGUCGGCCGCGUCGGCGCCGUGCUCGCCGGGGCGGACGCGCUGCGGCUGCGCACCAUGAAGCGCGCCGUGGAGAUCCUCGAGCCGGCGCAGGCGGCCGAGCUGCUCGUCGCCGCGGCGGACAUGGAGAUCGGGUUCCGUGAGUUCGGGCUCAAGUACGACGGCGUCGGCGCCGGCGGCUCGUAA